rnacentral:lncRNA from 1 species
UUUUGAGAACUGAGUAUAAUGCAUCUCAGUGAAGAUCUCUUUACAUUUAAUCUACCUAGUUUAUAGGGGCUAACUUGGCACCAGGGUCCACUGGGGCCUAGGCUUGUGGGCAAAAGCCUGAAAGCAGGGGCCAGGGUUAUAACUUAGAUCCUGGGUCUAUGAUGUCUAGAGUCCUUUAGGCUUUAUAGACCUAGAUGUUCAUUUCCCUCUCCAGAUUUGAGGAAUUUUCUGUUAUUGUUUCUUUAAAUAAACGUUCUGCUGUUUUUAUCUUUCUCUGCUUCUGAAAUUUCUGUAAUGUGUGUUGGUUCACUUGAUGACGUCCCGUAAGUCUGCAGGCUUUCUUCACACUUUUCCAUUCUUCUUUUUGUUCCUUAUACUGGGUAAUUUCAAAUGACCUAUCUUUGAACUCACUAGUUCUUAUCAUUCAAAUCUGCUGUUGAAGCUCUCUGAAAUUUUCAGUUCAGUUAUUGUGUUCUUCAGCUUCUGAAUUUCAUUCUUUUUAACGGUUUCUAUUUCUUUGUUGAACAACUCUUUGUUUAUGUAUUCUGAUUAUUGUUUAGUUUGUGUUUUCUUGUAGCCCACUAAACUUCUUUCAGAUAAUUAUUUUAAACUCUUAGGCAGUUCAUAGAUCUGCAUUUCUGUAAGGUCUGUUAAUGGUGUUUUAUUUUGUUCCUUUGGUGUCAUGUUUUUCUGAUUAUCUGUAAUCCUUGGGGCCUUAAAUUGAUGUUUGCAUAUUUAAAGAAGUAGGCAGCUUUUUCAGUCUUUACAGACUGGAUUCAGCAGGGAAAGCUCUUCACCAGUCAGCCUGAAGAUUCUAGGUAAGCUAACUAAUGGGGUUUAUCAGUGGGUUUGUGAUAUGGUUUAAAUGUUUGUUCCCUCCAAAUCUCAUGUUGACAUGUGAUUCCCAAUGUUGGAAGUGGGGCCUGGUUGGAGGUCAUUGGAUCAUGGGGGCAGAUCCCUCAUGAAGGUUUUAGCACCAUCCCCUUGGUAAUAAGUGAGUUCUUGCUCUGAGUUCAUGUGAGAUAACUGGUUGUUUAAAAGUGUGUGGAACCUACCCCCCUUCUCUGGCUCCUGUUCUUAUCAUGUGACUUGCCUAUUCCCACUUCAUCUUCCUCCAUAAUUGUAAGGUUCUUGAGACCCUCACCAGAAGCAGAUGCUGGAGCCAUCUUGAUGCAGCCUACAGGUUGAUGAGUCAAUUAUAACUCUUUACUUUACAAAUUACUAAGCCAUGGGUAUUUCUUUACAGCAGUGCAAGAAUGGCUUAACACAGCUUGGUAUUGGAGUCCUUGAGCAUGCUACCCUGGUCCCUCAGCAAGUAGGUGGGCAGGCUUGGUGCUUGGAUCUACAAUGACCAGCUUGGAGCCUGGGUCCGCUAGGGUGGCACUGGAGCUUAGGUCCAUGCAGGCAGGCCUAUCAUUAAGAAGGGCCUCACAUCUGGGACCAUGGGGAUGAGCCUGGUUCUGAGUCUGUGGGCCUAGAGUCUACAGGGGUGCAAUGGGAGCCAGCUUGGCCCUGGAGCAGGCCUUAAGGCUGAUCUUCAGAUCCAACACAAACCCUCAUCCCAUGAGUGCUAGUCUAGAGAAUGAGACUGCAGAGGCUUACCUGGAACCUGAGGCUGUGGGACAAGUCUGAAGCCUGGGGCUUUGUGAGGAUGGCCUGGUGCUGGAGCAGACCUGGAGCCUGAGGCUAUGAGGGCAGACCUAUUGCUAGAGUUGGACUAGGACCUGUGUCUGCAAGGUGGCCCUAGAGCCUGGGGCUACAAAAGGCCACCUGACAAUGGGAAAGACCUGGAGUCUGGAGCCAUAGAAACACCUUUAGUUAUACUAACUAAGAAAAAAGACUGAACUAUAUAAUAUUAUAAAUAAAAGCAGAAACAUUACAACUGACACUGCAGGUAUACAUAGGACCAUAAGAAAUUGUUAUAAUAAUUAUAGACCAAUAAAUUUGAUAGCCUAGAUAAAAUUAGUAAAUUCAUAGGCAUAUACAACCUAUCAAGAUUGAAACCAAGAAAUAGAAAAUCUUAAUACAUCAAUGACAAGUAAGGAGAUUAAAUCCCCACCUAACAAAGAAAAACUCAAGACAUGAAGGCUCCACUGGUGAAUUUUAACAAACACUUACAGCAAAAUGAAUGUAAUGCCAAUUCCACUCAAACUUUUCUGAAAAAUUGAAGGAAAAGGAAUACUUUCAAACUCAUUUUAUGAGGCCACAAUUACCCUAAUACCAAAACCAGAGGACACUACAAGCAAAGAAAAUUAGAGGCCAAUAUCUCUGAUGAACAUAAAUGUAAAACUCUUCAAUAAAAUACAAGCAUACUGAAUUCAACAGCACAUUAAAAAGAUUAUACACUUUGAGCAAGUGGGAUUUAUCCCUAGAAUGCAAAAAUGGCUCAACAUAUGCAAAUAAAUAAGUGUGACACACUAUGUUAACAAAAUAAUGGAUAAAAAUCAUAUGAUCAUCUCAAUAGAUGCAAAGAAAGCACUAGACAAAAUUCAGUAUCCUUUCAUGACAAAAAUGCUCAACUAAUUAAGUAUAGAAAGAAUGUACUUUUAUGGUGGCCAAGAUGGCCAACGAGAAACAAUUAGUAUGCAUGGCUCUGAUGGAGAGGAACAAAAAGAACAAGUAAAUACAGCAUCUCAAAGUGAAACAUCAGGUACUUGCAUUGCAUCUAAUCAAGGAAAUAAUUUGACCCUGGAGAAUGAAGAAAAGCAAGACAGCAUGACGGCCCACACAGGAGCAACACAGAGCCAGGGGAAUCUCUCCCACCCAGGGAAGCAGUGAGUGCAUGUGCGAUCUCAGGAACCCACACUUCUCCCACAAAUUUUUGCAACCCAUGGGCCAGGAGAUCUUCUUGUGAACCCACUCCACUGGGGUCUUUUGUGGACAAACAGAGCUGUGGAAUCUCAGCAGAGCAGCUGCUCAGGCAUGCAUGGAGUCCUGAGAACCUUAGCUACUCAGGAUUUCUGGCAAAAGUAGCUGCAACUCCAGCAAAGUGGGAGGUUAGAUCCCUGCACAUACCCUUAGGAAAGAGGCUGAAUCCAGGGGACUGAGCAGUGACAGCCUGCAGGCCCCACUUCCAUGGCACCUCACAGGAUAAGACCCAUUAGCUUGGAGUUCCAGCCAGCCACUGGUGGCAGCAUUGCCCUUCCCAGUGAUGGGGUUCCCAGGAGAAGGGGCAGGCCACCAUCUUUCAUCUUUGUUGUUUGAGCUACUUAGCCCCCAACCAAGCCUUCAGAAUUUGGAGAGUCUUGGCUGACCACAGGCAGAAGGGACCCACUAAGAACAGCAUAGCUGCUCUAACAAAACGUGGCCAAACUGCUUCUUUAAGUGGGUGCCCAAUCCCAUCACUCUUCCCUGAGUAGGACUUCCCAACCAGGGCCUCCAGCCACCCCCAUUAGUGUUCUCCAGCCAACAGAGAUUUUAAUACAUUGGGAUGAAGCUCUCAGCAUGAAGGGUGGGCCACCAUCCUUGCUGUUUGGGCAACUUAGCUACUCCAACAUUCAGGCUUUGGGGUGUCUGAGGCAAUGGGGAACUGAAGUGGAUCCCAAGCACAGCUUAGCUGCUCUAUGAAAUGAUGGCCAGACUGCUUUUUAAAGUGGGUCCCCAAUCACAUUUCUCCUCAUUGAGUGGGGCCUUUCUAUCAGGGUCUCAGGCCACCUCCUACAGGUGUGUUCAGGCUAGCAACAGGCCUGCACCUCCCUGGAAUGAAGCUCCCAGAGGGAUGGGCACGUUGCCAUAUUUGCUAUUUAACAGCCUUCACUGGUGAUAUCUCCAGGCACUGGAAAAUCCGAGGUGACUAGGGACUGGAGUGGGCCCCUAGCAUACCGCAGAAGCCCUAUGGAAAAGUGGCCAGACUGUUAUGUGGGUGCCCAUUCCCGUAUCUCCUUACCAGACAGGUCCUCCAGGCUUGGCCUCCAGCCACCCACCACCAGAGCUAUCAAGCCAAUAGCAACUCAGCAACUCCCUGGACAGAACCUUCCAGGGCAACUGAAAACCUCUCUGCCCCUGCCUCUGCAAUGGAACUGCCUUUGCCACCCUUGGACUAACAUAGGAACAAAGACCCUAAGUGCCUUAUACACACCUCCAACAAGCUACAUUUGACCCAAGAAGAGGAAGCCAGACAAUUUUCCAUGGGUCCCCCACACCCCCCAUUGCUCAUCACCAGACAAGGAAUCCCCGGCUUGGGCCCACCAGCACAGACCCUCCAUCUUGGGCUAAUUGCACUGAGCAGCUGCUGACCUGCAUCUUUCUGGGGUAGGGCCCCUGGGAGACAAGCAAAAGACCCUUGUCCACAACCACUACUAAGGUCCUUCCUUUCUGCCUCCAAUUUGAGGAAGGAACAUCAACACUGAGAUCACCCCAGAGCUGCAGUGGGCAGCCCAGGAGCGCCAAGCCACGAUCUACAGCCAGCACUCAAAGGAGAGAGAAACCAAUACUUUCAGAGCAUUGAGAGGGAACAUGGCCACAACUGUGAGGAAACAUAGGGGAGCCACACAACCAAGCAAGAGUCUACAAACUGACCAACAAACACAAGUGCCACCUGCUGGAUCACACCCUAAACCUUUAACACCAAAAAUACCUCACUAACAUGCCCUCCUCUGAAACCAGAGACAAGAAGUCAGCUUCAAACAAGGCCCUGCACAAAGACUUGGCCCUGCGAAAACAUCCAGAAAAAGAAGUCUAUUGAUGUAUUCAAUCUACACUGCAGUUAAAGGAACACCAACACGCAGAGAUGAGAAAGAACCAACGCAAGAACUCCAAUAACUCAAGUGGCCAGAUUGUCAUAUGUCCUCCAAAUGGCACACCAGUUAUCCAACAAGAGUUCUUAACCAGGCUGAAAUGGCUGGAAUGACAGAAAUAGAGUACAAAAUAUGGAUAGAAACAAAAAUCUUCGAGAUUCAGAAGGAUGGCAAAACCCAAUGCAAGGAAAAUAAGAAUCACAAUAAAGCAAUACGGGAGCUGAAGGACAAAAUAACCAGUAUAAAAAAGAACCAAUGCAUCUGACAGAGCUGAAUAACAUAAUACAAUAAUAUCACAAGUAUUAACAGCAGAAUAAAUCAAGCUGAGGAAAGAAUCUCAGAACUUGAAGACUGGAAAUAAGAACACUUUUACACUGUCAGUGGGACUGUAAACUAGUUCAACCAUUGUGGAAGACAGUGUGGCGAUUCCUCAAGGAUCUAGAACUAGACAUACCAUUUGACCCAGCCAUCCCAUUACUGGGGAUAUACCCAAAGGAUUAUAAGUCAUGCUGCUUUAAAGACACAUGCACAUGUAUGUUUAUUGUGGCACUAUUCACAAUAGCAAAGACUUGGAAUCAACCCAAAUGUCCAUCAGUGACAGACUGGAUGAAGAAAAUGUGGCACAUAUACACCAUGGAAUACUAUGCAGCCAUAAAAAAGGAUGAGUUUAUGUCCUUUGUAGGGACAUGGAUGCAGCUGGAAACCAUCAUUCUCAGCAAACUAUCACAAGAACAGAAAACCAAAUACCACAUGUUCUCACUCAUAGGUGGGAACUGAACAAUGAGAUCACUUGGACACAGGAAAGGGAGCAUCACACACCAGGUCCUAUAGUGGGGAGGGGGUAGGGGGCAGGGAUAGCAUUAGGAGAUAUACCUAAUCUAAAUGGCGAGUUAAUGGGUGCAGCACACCAACAUGGCACAUGUGUGUAUAUAUAUAUAUAUAUAUAUAUAUAUAUAUAUAUAUAUAUGUAAUAAACCUGCACGUUGUGCACAUGUACCCUAGAACUUAAAGUAUAAUAAUUAUAAAAAAAAUCCUAUCAUCCGCAAAAAAAAAAGCUAUUCCACCAUGGUCAAUUAGGCUUUAUUCCUGGGUUGCAAGGUUGGUUCCAUAUACACAAAUCAAUAAAUGUGAUUCAUCACAUGAACAGAACUAAAGACAAAAACCACAUGAUUAAUAGACACAGAAAGUGCUUUUGACAAAAUGCAACAUUCUUUCAUGUUAAAAAUUCUCAAUCAACUAGGUAUUGAAGGAACACACAUUAAAAUAGUAAGAGCCAUCUAUGACAAACCCACAGCUAACAUUGCUGAAUUGGCAAAAGUUGGAAGCAAAUCCUCUGGAAAACAAGCACAAGACAAGGACGCCCUCUCUUGCCACUUCUAUUCAACAUAGGAUGAAGUACUGGCCAGAGCAAUAAGAGAAGAGAAAGAAAUAAAGAACAUCUAAAUAGGAAGAGAGGAAGUCAAACUAUGUCUGUUUGCAGACAACAUGAUUGUAUAUCUAGAAAACCCUAUGGUCAUGGGCCAAAAUCUCUUUGAGCUGAUAAACAACUUCAGCAAAGCUACGGGAUACAAAAAUCAAUGUACAAAAAUCACUAGCAUUCCUAUACACCAACAAGAUCCAAACCAAGAGUCAAGUCAGAAAGGUAAUCCCAUUCACAAUUGCCAUAAAAAGAAUAAAAUACCUAGGAAUACAGCUAACCAGGGAGGUAAAAGAUCUCUACACUGAGAAUUACAAAACACUGCUCAAAGAAAUCAGAAAAGACACAAACAAAUGGAAAAACAUUCCAUGCUCAUGAAGAUGAAGAAUUAAUAUUGUUUAAAUGGCCAUACUGCCCAAAGCAAUAUACAGAUUAAAUUCUAUUGCUAUCAGACUACCAACAACAUUCUCCACAGAACUAGAAAAAAGGCUAUUUUAAAAUUGAUAUAGAGCCAAAAAAGAGCCCAAAUAGCAAAAGCAAUCCUAAGCAAAAAGAACAAAGCUGGAGGCAUCACAUUACUCACUUCAAACUAUACUACAG